rnacentral:rRNA from 1 species
AUUGAACGCUGGCGGCAUGCCUUACACAUGCAAGUCGAACGGCAGCACGGGAGCAAUCCUGGUGGCGAGUGGCGAACGGGUGAGUAAUAUAUCGGAACGUGCCCAGUCGUGGGGGAUAACGCAGCGAAAGCUGUGCUAAUACCGCAUACGAUCUAUGGAUGAAAGCGGGGGAUCGCAAGACCUCGCGCGAUUGGAGCGGCAGAUAUCAGAUUAGCUAGUUGGUGAGGUAAAGGCUCACCAAGGCGACGAUCUGUAGCUGGUCUGAGAGGACGACCAGCCACACUGGAACUGAGACACGGUCCAGACUCCUACGGGAGGCAGCAGUGGGGAAUUUUGGACAAUGGGCGAAAGCCUGAUCCAGCAAUGCCGCGUGCAGGAUGAAGGCCUUCGGGUUGUAAACUGCUUUUGUACGGAACGAAACGGUGAGCUCUAAUACAGUUUGCUAAUGACGGUACCGUAAGAAUAAGCACCGGCCAACUACGUGCCAGCCGCCGCCGUAAAAC